rnacentral:rRNA from 1 species
GAUUUCCGGUUGAUCCUGCCGGACCUGACUGCUAUCGGAUUGGUACUAAGCCAUGCGAGUCAUUGUACAAUACAAGGCGGACGGCUCAGUAACACGUAGUCAACCUAACUCGUGGACGUGGAUAACCUCGGGAAACUGAGAAUAAAACACGAUAGAUCAUAGUGCCUGGAAUGGCUUAUGGUCCAAACAGUUUACUGCCAUGGGAUGGGACUGCGGCCUAUCAGCUUGUUGGUGAGGUAAUGGCCCACCAAGGCGAUUACAGGUACGGGCUCUGAGAGGAGAAGCCCGGAGAUGGGUACUGAGACACGGACCCAGGCCCUAUGGGGCGCAGCAGGCGAGAAACCUUAGCAAUGUGCGAAAGCACGACUGGGUCAGUCCGAGUGAUUCCUGAUAAAGGAGUCUUUUGCUUGUCCUAAAAGCACAAGUGAAUAAGGGGUGGGCAAGUCUGGUGUCAGCCGCCGCGGUAAUACCAGCACCUCGAGUGGUCAGGACGUUUAUUGGGCCUAAAGCAUCCGUAGCCGGCUCUGCAAGUCUUCGGUUAAAUCCACCUGCUCAACAGAUGGGCCGCUGGAGAUACUACAGAGCUAGGGAGUGGGAGAGGCAGACGGUAUUCAGUGGGUAGGGGUAAAAUCCUCUGAUCCAUUGAGGACCACCGU